UCUCUCUAUCACCCUGAUCACACCAGAUCUCAUCUGAUCUCAGAAGCCAAGCAGGGUCAGACCUGGUUAGAUACUAGGAUGGGAGAC
rnacentral:rRNA from 1 species